rnacentral:rRNA from 1 species
UACGUAGGUGGCAAGCGUUGUCCGGAUUUAUUGGGUUUAAAGGGUGCGUAGGCGGCCUAUUAAGUCAGUUCUGAAAUAUCCCGGCUUAACCGGGAGGGUGGGAUUGAUACUGAUGGGCUUGAGUGGACUCGAGGUAGGCGGAAUUGACGGUGUAGCGGUGAAAUGCUUAGAUAUCGUCAAGAACACCGAUAGUGUAGACAGCUUACUAGAUUUCAACUGACGCUGAGGCACGAAAGUGUGGGGAUCAAACAGG